CAGCCGCCGCGGGAAUACGGAGGGGGCUAGCGUUGUUCGGAAUUACUGGGCGUAAAGCGCACGUAGGCGGCUUGGUAAGUUAGAGGUGAAAGCCUGGAGCUCAACUCCAGAAUUGCCUUUAAGACUGCCGAGCUAGCAGGUGAGAGAGGUAAGUGGAAUUCCGAGUGUAGAGGUGAAAUUCGUAGAUAUUCGGAAGAACACCAGUGGCGAAGGCGGCUUACUGGCUCAUACUGGACGCUGAGGUGCGAAAGCGUGGGGAGCAAACAGGAUUAGAUACCCGCGUAGUCCCUGUCUCUUAUAC
rnacentral:rRNA from 1 species